AAUACACAAAAUCUCAAAUUAAUUGAUCGUCUGUUAAUAAUCUUGUACUUAUUUUAUGGAUUGUUUUUGUAUGCUGUGAUUACGGAGUACUUUUAAAACGGUUCCUAUUAGGGUAUUUUGACUUCGUGUUUAUUUGAAAAGAGAAAUCUUAUUUGCUUUUUGUCUUUUUAAAUCAUUGGCAUUAAAUGCAGCAGGAGUGUGAAGACAAGCGCGGAAAGUAGAGAAGCUGCCACUAGGCAACGGCGUUGAAGCAGAAAGGACAUGGUUUGCCAAUACAAUGGCAGCAGACUGCAUACUGCCCUUUAAAACGAGGUACUAGUACGUCACAAGCGAAAUCACUAGAGAACUUGGGGGCAUUACUAGUACGACAUCAAUACAUGAGCCAUGAAAUUGAAUGUGAAUGCCGAUAUCAUAGUGCCAGUACAGUUGUUCCCUCCAGAUUAUCUCGGAACCAGAACGUAUCAAUCAUCCUACAAAUUUUAUGUAACGGGAUUGGUAUGUGUGAUGUUAUGAAGUUAUAAAAUAUAUUAUUACAUUUUUUGAUUAA